GUGCUCUCCUGGGCCCUGAGCACCUGCCUUCUUGACUGUUUCUCUUCAUCAGCCCUGUCCUUCAUAAUCCCAGAGAAUGUGGAUGAUCUGAGGCGUGAGUGUAAAUGCCUUAACCUUAACAGUCCCGACCAGAGCAGCAUGGUAAGACAUCCGCUGGGUUCACACUCACCAAUACCCUGGACAUUAUGGCUUCAAAACACAUUAGGAAACCCAAAGACAGCGUAACCCUUAAGUAUGCAUGUUUGUUCUUUUCUGCAUCUUCCUUCCCGACUUGCCUUUGCAUCUGCUGUCUUACUCUGCACACGUCACUCUUCCGUUUCAUCCUGUCAUUACGCAGCGUUUGCUGAAGUCAUCAUUGGAUAUUUGCAUUUUGCACAGUGACUGGUGUGCUAGCUCUUGACAAUGAGAAAGCACUGAAGGGUUCCAGUUGGGGCUCCUGACUGCUCAGGUGGGUGGGUGCUCCUCAGCGCCUCUUCUGUGCUUUUGCUGUUGAGCUGUCGUCCUUAGCCAUAAUGAGCACGUUGACCAAGAGAAGCAAAGGUUUCCUGAGGUUAUUAGCCAGUAGUGUGGAAAUGGUUUUCAUGUGGCCAAUGAAAGCAAAGAGUUCUCUUCAGUUUGUGUUCUUUAGAAGACAGACAUCUGUGUCCAUCCCUUGACUGUUUGUAGGAUCAUAUUGUCCUUAUGAUACCGAACUUCACAGCUGCUAUAAGUUUUUAUAAAUGAAAAUCAAAUCAUAAUAGGAACAUAGGUUUUCAUGUCUUCAUUCUUUGGACCCAAGGUUAAUUUUUAAUAAGGAAGUGUAUCUUGUACUUUUUUACAUUAUCAUGCCAGAAAGGGAAAAACAUACUAAUAGAAGUCCAAGGACACAGCAAUCAGGACAGUGCCGGGACCGUGGCAGUGACCAUCCUAACCUCCUCCAGCUGUCUUCACUAUCCAAGAUCCUGCAUUCCAGAUGCCAGGCAGGAAUAGGCCAGUCUCGUCCUCUGCUAGCAAUCAUACCUGCAGUUUGGUAGCAAAAACAAGAGAAUCUGGAGAUAACGGGUUUCUCCCUAUUUUAACUAUUUGGCUCUAACUGUGAUGGGUUAUUGUUAGGGUCAGGAAUGGUGGGUGUGGACACCCAGCCACUCACUCGUUCCAUACUGGGGUCUUUUUAAUGAAGCUCUGCCUCAUAACCAAGAACCUAAAUACGCCCUCUUUCUAAUCUUUGCUCCCUCUUCCACACCCUGUCCCCUCCUGUCUUUCCGCAUUAAUUCCUCUAAAUGAUCUUUGCAUUCGCAGUAAUACCUUUUAGAAUAGCACUGUCAGAACCUAGUAGUAAACCACCAUGUAGGCUUCAGAGUCACUUCUGAGUCCCAACAAUUUGUGCUAUCCAGGGCAGUUAACUCUGGGUUAAACUAGUACAGGGUAUCGAUUCCCUCUUCAGGUCUAAACAGGAAUUUUUACUCUAGGGAAAAGUGGGAAGAGCUCAAAAGUAGUUAAGGAAGGUGACUUCCUUCUGUGACUACAGGUCUCUGAGAAAUUAUCUUUCAAAAGAGAUUGCAUUCUCAUAAGAGUUGUGGCCUAUUGAUAAAAACAAUUUUGUUCACUUUCUUGUCUUGAAAAAAAGUGGCCUUAGCUUUUUGCAAUACUUGAAUAAAGUGUGUACUUGCAAAAGAAUUUCUGUAGCACAGCAUUAGAGACUCAUAACUUUUCUGCAAGAAAUUCAAACUUACAUCUUCCUUUUACUACCUUAAGAAUACUAGUGAAUAAAACAUUAAUUCAAAGAGCAAGUGAUAGAAACUACAAUGACGUUUAAUGCAAAUUGUAGGAAUUUACAUGUUUACAAAUCAUCUUAAACUGGUUGUGCAACAAUUCAAUAAAAUCUUUGUAUUAUAAAAAUGUGAAGGAAGUGUAAACUGGUGUAAAGGAGGUACUGUCAUUUUAAUUAACCUGUGUUUCAAAGCUUUUCCUUCUGGACUUUGCAAGCCUUCUUGGUUACACAUUGCAAAGCAUUCUCUAGGGGCUCAGCCUCCUUGUGUGUACUGUACUGUGCAGACAUGAAAAAUAAACCCGUUUACUGUGUGUGUGUGAAUAGCCUGCGCAUCAGGCCAUUUUCAGCCAAUAGACACCCCGUGCAGCUCUUAGAAGCCUGCACAGAAGACUGAGGGUGUGGUUUGUAAGUACGCUCUGUAAAAUAACUGGGAAGUCCCAUGUAUACCCUGUAAAUAGAUUUGUUAACUAAAACGUACUUUAAGAUGAAAUCUGUAAAUAAAUUGAUUUAUAAAUUAA
rnacentral:lncRNA from 1 species